AGGAGAGAGAAACAAAGACAUAUAUGAAGGAGAUCUAUGAUCCUUUUGUUUUAGAUCUCACUUGCUCUAUUUUAUUAAAUAAAAAUCUUUUGAGAAAAAAAUGAUUGUAGAAUUGUGUACAAAUCCAUGAACUAUAUCUAAAUAGUUAUUGUAUUGGGAAAUAAUUCUAACAGCUAAUUUUAUUUCUCCCAACACGCUUUAACUUUAUUUUUCUUGAUUUGUGUAAUUACACCAGCCUUUUUUUAGGGGCCCAAGUGCAAUAAGACAAUACACCGUUCAUUAAUGUCAUUUGUAAGUAUUCUCGGAUGCCUAAAAAACAAGACACACGUGAUCACUACCUCAAAGACAAAAAGCCCAAGAUACGAUAUGCCAACACCCGGCUCAUGUUAGCCAGAUACACAAUUUUGCCACCCAUGGCUACCGUGAGCAUGCACAAAUCAAGAAUCUCACACACUAUACACUAUAGAUCCAGUACAUACUGAUUUGAAGUUGAAGUUGACUUCAGUAAGUUCACGGUUGUUAACAAAAUAAUCAAAGGAGAAUCGAAAUUUUAAAAAAAAAAAUUAGCUCAGAUCUAAUGCUAGCGCACGAUAACAAGUGGAUUUUAACUAAUAUACGCGGUUUACUUAGAGUGUUGAGACAUUAUUAUAAGGGAAGUAAUAUUAAUAAAGAUUUUGUGGUUAAAAUAGUGUAGAACCAGAUCUAGCCAGUAUAAGGGAAAGUGUACGUACCACAUCGGUAGCAGAUGGUGCCGGAGAUAGAUCGGUGGCUAGAGAAGGAGAAGGAGCACCGGUGGGAGGUGCCGGUGGGCUUGAAAGUAAAGGAGAAGGAGCAACCGUCGGAGUCACACUAGGAGUGGGAGAUGAAACGGGGACAGGAGCAGGGGGGGAAGCGAGUGGAGCAGGUGGUGGUGAGGCGACAGGAGGAGGAGUAGCUGGUGGCGGUGAUGCAACAGGAGGAGGAGUAGCAGGAGGUGGUGAUGCAACAGGAGGAGGGGUAGCCGGUGGUGGUGAAGCAACAGGAGGAGGAGUAGUUGGUGGUGGUGAGGCAACGGUGGGAGGUGCGGCUACAGGGGGAGGAGUGGAGGUUGGUGGAGAUGCGACUUGAGGUGGGGGAGCGGUGGUGGUAGGAGGAGGAGAUGCGACGACUUGUGGUGGGGAAGUGGUGGGGGAGGAAGAGGGAGAUUGACCGCCGACGGAGGAGAUGACAAUGCAGAUGAAAGCCGUGAGGAAGACGGCGUUGCGAUCCAUGGUUAACGUGCGCCGCUGAUGGUGGUAUAUGUUAACCUAAAUGGUUGAAGAUGAAGGUAUGGAUACAAAGUGGGAAGU
rnacentral:lncRNA from 1 species